GCUCCGCUGGCCUAGUGGUUAAAGCGUCCGCCUCAGACGCAGGAGGUCGUGGGUUCUAACCCCGGUCGAGUCA